CUCUAAUGGGCUGCCUAAAGGACAAAAUUUUGGACUUGGAAGAUGAUACUCUUAUCGCAUUACCACAUACUAACAUGGCAGGUUAGCAUUUUCCUGAGACCAAACUGGCAUGGAAGAUGCUUCUGUGACACUCAGACCCAAGAGCAGGUAGAUCCAGAGGCAUCACAGAAUGGUAACAACUAACAAAGUAUGGUCAUGAUCUUAUUGAUUCUUGGCCUAGGUGAGGUGGGGUUGGGACAAUUGGAGUGGAUUUCUAGUGUUCUCAUUUCUUGAGAGGUUUCUCGGGAGCCAAACGGACCUGAGUGAAGUACUGAAGAGCCCGUUCGAAGUCGCCCUGAGCUUGCAACUCUCUACCUUUCUCCAACAAACUGACGGCCUCGGAGACUCUCUGAGAGACGUCAGCGCUUGCGUCUCUUUCAUUUGGAGAGACGGGGUCGAAGGUGGGAAGAGCAGAGGAGGAAGUGGGAGGGGGAAGAAGAACAACAAGAAGACUGGAUGUGGAAAUCAACAAACCCCGUCUGUUUGGAGAACUGGGGUUUAAUUUUUGACGGAUUGGGAUUGGGGUUUUGCAGUUUGGGGGUGUGGGCAGGAGGAAACAGGAUAUGGGUGGAACCUUACAGGCACCCAUUUUUCUUUGUUAUUUUGGGUUUUUUUUCUUGAGUUUUGUCAGUUGGCUGCGACAGAUUUUGUCCAUUCAAAAGAAAAAUCAUUAGCUGUACUUAUCCUACUUUAUCACACUUCUUUCAAUAAUUUGAUAUGAACACCCAAUUUUUCUUUGGAUC